rnacentral:rRNA from 1 species
GACGAACGCUGGCGGCGUGCUUAACACAUGCAAGUCGAACGGAAAGGCCCUGCUUGCAGGGUACUCGAGUGGCGAACGGGUGAGUAACACGUGGGUGAUCUGCCCUGCACUUCGGGAUAAGCCUGGUAAACUGGGUCUAAUACCGGAUAGGAGCCAUUUUUAGUGUGAUGGUUGGAAAGUUUUUUCGGUGUAGGAUGAGCUCGCGGCCUAUCAGCUUGUUGGUGGGGUAAUGGCCUACCAAGGCGGCGACGGGUAGCCGGCCUGAGAGGGUGGACGGCCACAUUGGGACUGAGAGACGGCCCAGACUCCGACGGGAGGCAGCAGUGGGGAAGAUUGCACAAUGGGCGCAAGCCUGAUGCAGCGACGCCGCGUGGGGGAUGACGGCCUUCGGGUUGUAAACUCCUUUCGCUAGGGACGAAGCUUUUUGUGACGGUACCUAGAUAAGAAGCACCGGCUAACUACGUG